CUCCCGCCGCCGCUCCCCGGCCACAGCGAGGUCCCGUGCGGCGGCUCGGGGACAGACCAGAGGCCCCCGCCGGCUCCGGAGUCGCCGCGGCGGCUGUGACGCCCGAGGCCCCGCUCCCUCCGUAACACGCUCCCCUCCCCUGGAGGCUGCGCUGACCGGACAAUGGCCGCUCCGCCCCCUCCCCUCCGCGCGCACCCCUCCCAAGGAGUGGCGAUGGUCUUGCCCGGGGAAACCACCGCCAAAGCCCAGCAGCUGAUCAGCUGGGAUCCGGGCGUGCCACUUUGUUCCGCGCCUCGGAGUCCGGGGCCGUGGACAACGCCGAGAGCGUUGAGCAACGGGCUUCUGAGGCCUUCGUGUUCUAGGAACUUUCACAAUAUGAGGCAAACUUACCUUCCCCUGUCAGGGGAAGGGGACUCGGUUUCUGAGUACUCUGGGGCGCGUCACCCCCCCCCCGCAAAGCGAAUGGUACGCCCCAAGCGGGCGGGGGAGGAGCAGAUUAGUUGUUUAGGAUCCCAAAGGCUGAGGGCAAUAAGAUCUCACAAAGAACUGACACAAGGAGCUGACAUAUUAACAGGAAGCCAGAUCAAGUGUCCUAAAGAUCACAUAAGCCCAGAGCUGCUGUGGGACCUUCCAUAUGGUACAAGGCUGCCUGGGGAUCAACCCAACAAAGAGGAAGGAAGAGAAAGAGACUGAAUUACCAUAAAUCCAACUAAGUUUGAUGCCAAAACUGCCCUUUCGACUUUGCAGUUAUCUGCACCAAUAGAUACCUUUCCUUAUACACAUACUAUUUGGGUUAGACCUCAGUAUAUUUCUAUGAGAAAAGUCCUGACUAUUCCUAAUAAUAUCUACUUAUAUCAUGGGCUUAUUGUGAAGAUGAAAGUAUAUUAUUCAGGAGGAAAUGUUAGCAUAGUACAAACUCAUUAAACAUAUAUUAUUAUUUGUUUCUUUUUGAUAAUUGCUCAAUUCAGGUAUCCCAUCAUUCAUUCAUUUAUAUUUGUUUAUUCAUUCAACAGACACUUAAUGUUUUUUUUUUUUUUUGUCUUUUUGAGACAAGGUCUCCCUGUGCAGUUCAGUCUGGCCUCGAACUCACUUUGUAGCCCAGGCUGGCCUUGAACUUGCAAUGAUCCUCCUGCCUCAGCCUCUUGAGUGCUGGGAUUACAGGCAUGUGCCACCACACCCAGCAGCAGACACUUAUUGAGCACCUACUAUGUUAGGAACUAACAGAGGUAUUAAGGUACAGUCCAAAUGACACAUAAAUUUCCCUACUUUAGUGCUGCUUAUCCUGUAAUAGUAAUGCAAGCAAUUUUUUUCAAAUGUUUUAAAGAACAGAGCCCACUUUCCAUGUUUGUGAAUAAUUGCAGUGAACAUCUUGGCCUGUCUGUCCUAUUAAUAGCUUGGAUAUUUUUUUAAACAAGGUCUCAUUAUGUUGGCCAGGCUGGCCUCAAGCUCCUGGGUUUAAACCGUCUUCCUGCUCCAGUCUGGCAAGUAGUGGGAACUACAGACUUAAACCACCACCCCUGGCUUUUGGAUAAAUUUUUGUUUGUGUUUUGAAAUAGAGUCUCGUUAUGUAAUUCAGGUUGUUCUUGAACUCACUAUGUAGCCCAGGCUGACCUCCAACUCGCAGCAAUCCUCCUGCCUCGGUCUCCCAGAUGCUGGGAUUACAGGUGUACACCACCAUGCCUAGCUUUUUUGGAUAAGAUUUUUCUAAAAAAAAAUUGUGAUACUCUUUAACAUUCAUCACAUGUGGCCAAAUUUUGUUCCAGAAAGGUUCUGCCAACUCACACUCCUAGCAGUGAAUGAAAACAUAGGUUUCCUGCACCUCAGUAGCCUGAGGAUAGCGUUACUCUUCUCAAUCAUUGCCAAUGUAAAGACAAAACAAAACAAAAAAACCACUCCUAAAGGUUGUUUUAAUUUGCAUUUUUAUUGUUUGUUUGUUUUAUUUGCAUUUUUAGAGUUGUUGAGAUCUAGGCACACGUUAUAUAUAUAUAUGAUAUAUAUAUAUAUCUCAUAGAUGUAUUUGUAAAUAUAUACGUAUAUGUGUAUAAAUAUAUAUAAGUUCUUUAAAUUUUAUUUUUGUAAUGCCUUAUCUAUUUAUGUCCUUUAUCUGUUUUUCCAGGAGUAUGUUUUUUAUUAAAGACAUUAAUGCUCA
ensembl:lincRNA